GGGUAGAGUAAUGCGUGACCAACCUGCCCCAUGCUCCAGAAUAGCUCUUGGAAACGGGUGGUAAUGCUGGAUGCUCCAACUUGACGCAUGUCUUGUUGGGAAAGUGUUUAGUGGCAUGGGAUGGGGUCGCGUCCUAUCAGCUUGUAGGCGGGGUAAUGGCCCACCUAGGCUUCGACGGGUAGCCGGCCUGAGAGGGCGGACGGCCACAUUGGGACUGAGAUACGGCCCAGACUCCUACGGGAGGCAGCAGNU
rnacentral:rRNA from 1 species